rnacentral:rRNA from 1 species
AACGAACGUUAGCGGCGCGCUUAACACAUGCAAGUCGAACGAGAAAGGGCUUCGGCCCCGGUAAAGUGGCGCACGGGUGAGUAACACGUGGGUAACCUUCCCUUGAGCGGGGGAUAACAUUCCGAAAGGAGUGCUAAUACCGCAUAAGACCACGGCCUCGAAAGAGGACGCGGUUAAAGCAAGCCUCUUCAUGAAAGCUUGCACUCAAGGAUGGGCCCGCGGCCCAUCAGCUAGUUGGUAGGGUAAUGGCCACCAAGGCAACGACGGGUAGCUGGUCUGAGAGGAUGAUCAGCCACACUGGAACUGAGACACGGUCCCAGACUCCUACGGGAGGCAGCAGUGGGGAAUCUUGCGCAAUGGGCGAAAGCCUGACGCAGCGACGCCGCGUGAAGGAUGAAAUCCCUCGGGAUGUAAACUUCGCAAGAACGGGAAGAAUAAGCGAGAGUUAAUAUC